AAAGUCGUAACAAGGUCUCCGUUGGUGAACCAGCGGAGGGAUCAUUACCGAGUCUCAAAACUCACCAACCCUUUGUGAAUAUACCUAAAACUAGUCCCUCCGGCAGGGAACCCCAGGGCGGGGUUCAGCGUCGAGCAACCUGCCGAAGGCGGCGCAAAUUUUGCUCUAUAUUGUAUCAUCUGAGCCUAAAACAAAAUAUCAAAAUUUUCAAUUGUGGAUCUCUUGGUUCUG
rnacentral:misc_RNA from 1 species